ensembl:processed_transcript Snhg5 small nucleolar RNA host gene 5
CCAGUGAGAAAACUAGAUGUGACCAUCCAGAAAAAGCAUAGACAAAAAAAUGCAGUCUUAGUACUGGGAUGUUUGAGAUGGGGUCUAUCUACAUGUCUCUAGCUGUCCCUAUCAGGACAGCAUCUGGUGUGGCCUGCAGAGUUGAUUCCUGUACUUUUUUUUUUUUGUGGGCUGUAUGUAAAUGGAUUGUUUUGACAAUCCAUUCGACAGUGUUCUCUUCUGUGAAGGUCAUAGGUGAGCUGAUUGACAGACACAGCUGUACAGACUGAAUGCAAUCCUGACUAUAAAGCUGCAGUUCAUCAUUAUGAGCUAUUUCCUUAUUCUGGCAGUGAUUGAAAUAAAAUGGGGAGUAUUGAAAUAAAAAACAUUCAAUU